rnacentral:lncRNA from 1 species
AAUUUCAGACAGAAAAGUGAUUGCAUGAACAUCACUCCCCUCUUAAAGAGGGUGAAGCGAAUUAACAAUAAACCAGAUUAACAAUUCUAAACUCCUCUUACAUAGAAAUUCGGGAAUACAUGCUAUAUCCAGGACUUGGUUUAUUCAACCAUCGAAGUCAAUAUGAUCUUUUAAUCUUUAAAUGUUAAUUCAUUCAUUCAACAAAUGUCUACUAAGAAUGACUUCUCUGAGCCCCCACCCUCCACACACUCAUCAUUUCCUUAAGUACUAUCAGUGAAACUUCUGAUUUAAUAGAGAAGACAAAUAAAUAAGCACUUCAAUUUCUUCUGAUGAGUAUUUUCAAAGAAUCUAAUAUUUUUAUUAAUAUUUAUGUUUAGUUCCUUAUUUUUAUUAAUAUUUAUUCUAAAAAUUAAAAUAUUCCAAAGAAGCUACUUGUGGGUGACGGAUAUUUUAAUAUUUGAACAUUUAAGUUUAGAACCUCAAUUCAGCUAUUAACUAUAUCAUCUGAAGGAUAAAAGCAAAACACAUAGUAAAUAUCCAAGAAUUAUUUCUUUCCUUUUUCCCUUGUGAAAGUCAGGGAUGAAAAUACAAAAGAAUCCAAAGCACUGCUCAGAUCAUUUAUAUACCUACAAAGUGAGUUUCACAAAGCACCACAAAAACAAAUGUAUUCUUUUCUCACCGCUUCCCUUGCAUUUCUUGCCUAUAGAGCUUAUUCUUCUCUAUCCCUUCGGAUGUAAUUGAAAGCCAGUGCCUUNNNNNNNNNNNNNNNNNNNNNNAAAAACUGCUUCCUUCACUUUAGAACCAAAAGACAAAACAAUAACAACAAUCCACUAAACUCACACAGAAUUAGGUUCUAUAUAACGGUCAAAAUCCUGAUGUCCACGUGGGUUAAAGUUUUUCCCCUCCCCCAGCCUCGAAGGGCAGCAAGAGGAGCCAGGGAAGCCUGCAGUGGGAGCUGGCAGGCUGCCUCCUCUCUGCUCAGCCAGUUCUGCAUCCUCAACCUUCCUCCACCUCAAUCAGGAGAUGAGUCCAACAGGUCAGAGAUAGAAGACAUGGCAGGAUAAGAAAGGUCCUAUGUGAACUGCUCUCAUUUAGCGUUGCUUUUUCCUGGGUUUAGUAGGUGCUCAGAGCUGUCUUUUCUAAUCUCAUUUUAAUCAGUUCUGUGAAGACCCUUGGAUCUGGAGGAUUUCCGAUUGCAAAGUAUGACCUGCUUCUGGUGAGGCUUUCAUGACUGAACAGUUACUACCCUACUUCAAGCCCCUGGCUGUCUGUACAUUACAUUCAGAUUUCACCUAGCCUGUUGUAUGUGAAUUAGGAAAUGGUGUCUCCUCCAGACUGAUGAAUUACAAAAAAGCAACCCCCAACCAGGUUGAUGCAACCACACACAUAAGCACCAGGUCAGCAGUUCUUUUUCAUCCUUCAGCUAGGCACCUUUGAGCACAACCAUACNNNNNNNNNNNNNNNNNNNNNNNNNNNNNNNNNNNNNNNNNNNNNNNNNNGAAGACCUGGGUUCAAUCCCUGGGUUGGAAAGAUCCCCUGGAGGAGGGCAAGACAAACCAUUCCAGUAUUUUUGCCUGGAGAAGCCCCAUGGACAGAGGAGCCUGGCAGGCUACAUUCCAU